rnacentral:rRNA from 1 species
UACAGAGGGUGCGAGCGUUAAUCGGAGUUACUGGGCGUAAAGGGCGCGUAGGCGGUUAUAUAAGUGAGAUGUGAAAUCCCUGGGCUUAACCUAGGAACUGCAUCUCAUACUGUAUGACUGGAGUAUUGUAGAGGGUAGUGGAAUUUCCGGUGUAGCGGUGAAAUGCGUAGAGAUCGGAAGGAACACCAGUGGCGAAGGCGGCUACCUGGACAAAUACUGACGGCUGAGGCGCGGAAGAGCGUGG